UUGCUAUAUAAAUGUCGAUUCAUAUAAGAUACGACGAUUUGUAAAGUGAGAAACACGACAAAAUGAGGUUCUUUGGAAUUAUAAUGCUUUUGUGCUUCCUUGUCAUGGCCAGUUAUGGAGCAACACCAACAACAACAACAAAAACAUCAAAACCAGCUGGCCAGGUUAAAUGUCCUCCCGGCAAGGUAAUUGAC